UCGGGUUAUCGGAGGACGAAAGCUUCGUCUCUUUCCCUAGCAGGUAGGUGGUCGAAACGAAAGGCAAGAAAUAUAAGUGUAACGAACGGCUCCGGUGAACCCUUUAUAGUAAGCUUUCCUGCGAAGAGUGCCUGCAUAGGGUUUCUAUUCGAGAUCGAGAGAGACGGGUACGUCAUCAUUUCCUCACCACCAGAAUGGAGAAGAUGGGCGCCGCCGACGCACAGAUCGAGGAUCUCUUCGUCAGCAAGAAGCCCAUCAAGAACCCUCUCGUCCCCAUCGGUCUAGUUAGCUUCAGGCAAGGAAAUUCUCAGCUGGGACAGAAGCUGAUGAGGGCACGAGUUGUAUUUCAAGGUGCAACAGUUGCAUUGAUGGUUGGCAGUGCUUACUACUAUGGUGAGACCUUUAGGGGUUCUAAGAACAAAAAUUAAAUGAUAUAAAGAUGGCUUGCAGGCAUCUUUCAUCUAUGACUGAGUUUUUAUUGGCAUCAAAAUAAUUUAUUACACAUUUUCUUUCA